rnacentral:rRNA from 1 species
UACGUAGGGACCAAGCGUUGUCCGGAUUCAUUGGGCGUAAAGAGCUCGUAGGCGGCUGUUCAAGUCGAACGUGAAAACUCGGAGCUCAACUCCGAGCCUGCGUUCGAUACUGGACGGCUAGAGUCUGGUAGGGGGAUCUGGAAUUCCUGGUGUAGCGGUGGAAUGCGCAGAUAUCAGGAGGAACACCGGUGGCGAAGGCGGGAUCCUGGGCCAGUACUGACGCUGAGGAGCGAAAGCGUGGGGAGCGAACAGG